rnacentral:rRNA from 1 species
ACUCGAUAUAGGUUUACUGUCGAAGCUAAAGUGCUAAGUACCCCGCCUGGGGAGUAUGGUCGCAAGGCUGAAACUCAAAGGAAUUGACGGGGGCUCACACAAGCGGUGGAGCAUGUGGCUUAAUUCGAGGCUACGCGAAGAACCUUAUCCUGGACUUGACAUGUGCGAAAGCGUUAGGUAGUAGGAGCCGGAAACGGUAACGAACCCAGCAAUGGGGAGCCUAAUACAGGUGCUGCAUGGCUGUCGUCAG